rnacentral:rRNA from 1 species
CUGGCAGUGAUUCACUGUCGGAGUUGUAAAUUGAAGAGAAUGUCAUCCACGCUGGACCACGUCUAAAUUGUAAUGAUCCACAGUCCUUUGAUGGAGUAUCAGAGAGGUUAAUAAUCCCGUCUUUAACGUGGACUGCCAGUGUUUCUGUGAUGCACUCUCUCAGAGUCGAGUAGUUUGGGAAUGCUGCUCUAAUGGGAGGUAAACUCCUUCUAAAGCUAAAUAUUGGCGAGAGACCGAUAGCGAACAAGUACCGUGAGGGAAAGAUGAAAAGAACUCUGAAAAGAGAGUCAAAUAGAACGUGAAAUUGCUGAAAGGGAAGCGUUUGGAGUCAGACGCGUCUUCAUGCAAUACAGCUCAGUGGCAGAGACUUUGAGACACGGUACUUGAAGACGGGCCAGCACUCACGAAGACCAUUGAAGAAGGGGUCAUGGAAUGUAGCUCAGUGCUGAGUGAUUAUAGCCUUGAUUCAAAAGCAAUGUGUCCUUUGUGAGAGAUGGACAGCACGACAACAGUUCA